rnacentral:rRNA from 1 species
UACGGGGGGAGCAAGCGUUGUUCGGAUUUACUGGGCGUAAAGGGCGCGUAGGCGGCACCGCAAGUCGACUGUGAAAUCUCCGGGCUUAACCCGGAAAGGUCAGCCGAUACUGCGGGGCUAGAGUGCAGAAGGGGCAACUGGAAUUCUCGGUGUAGCGGUGAAAUGCGUAGAUAUCGAGAGGAACACCUGCGGCGAAGGCGGGUUGCUGGGCUGACACUGACGCUGAUGCGCGAAAGCUAGGGGAGCGAAGCGGG